UUGCUUUAUUAAUUUUGGUUAAUUUUUCAAUGUCCUUUCCACGUGGUGCUAUCAGCAGAACCACCGCUUCCCCGACUACAUAAGCCAAUUAUAUUGCUAUUGGUGUCAUCGGCUCUUCCAAGAAUUAGUGCUUCUUCCCACCGCUUCUCUUACCUUGUGCUUAAAUCUCCCUUCCCAGUCUUCUCAACGCCUCCACCGUUGUAUUGGAAAAAUCAGGUGGAUUUUUAUGAUUUGGAUUUCUUCUCAAUGCUAUCCACCGGCCACCGACUAUUGGUUCUUUGGCGUCGGGUUUCCUCUGGUUUUCCUCUCUCCUCUUCAUUUUCUUCCAGAUCUUUCUAAUCUACUGUUCAUGUCUCUUUGAGGACCUGGAUACCCAAUCGAUUGCAUUUGGGUCUACAAUCAUGCCCUAAUUGAAGGCAACAUCGCUGUUAUGGUUUCUCUUUAACAAAAAUACCCUUUUUACAUGACUAUGAAUUGAGUAUUACUCUUUUUUGCUCUAUUAUGAUGGUUUGAUAGUGUGUUUGAAUGGGAAAUUUUUUAGAUCUUGAUGAUGUUCACACUCGAUCUUUACAAUCUGAAGUUUAUGGUUCCAGGUUAAUGGUUUCAAGAUGAUGAUAAUCCUGAGAACAUCGAUGAAUAAGGAAAAGGUUGGAUAAGAAGCUUAUGAAAAGGUCAGUUCUUCAAAAUCUCAAAUGCUUUUCCAAUUUCCUUUUUUCCAACUCAAAACCCUACAUUCUUUUUAUAUAUUUUUGAUCCAUCUUUUAGUUGAAGCUGCUUAUUUCAGAAUGGUUCUCUGCUCUUGCAUAGUGACUUAAUUUUUGAAAAUUCUAUUACUUAGUCAAGUCAACCAGGUGAAGUCAUUAGUCGUUUAUGUAAAGUAGCCUUUGACUUUCUCUUUGACCAUAGUGUGGACUUUCAAGAUGGUUGCAGGAGAGAUUGCAUUCAAUGCAAGUACCAUCAAAGAAUUAGUGCAGCAAUCUACAAAUGAUGAUGAAAGGUCAAAAACUCAAAUAAAUGAACUGGAGUGUCAAAUAGAAGAAAAAAGAAGGCAAAUGACGGCUUUGGAGAGACAGAUUGUUGAAAGCAAUAAAGCUUCAAUUUCUAAUACAUCAUUGACUGAUAGAUAUACAACAUUCGACUAUGAAAUCAAUGACACAGUGUGAUGAAAAGGGUUUUGAUUUUGAGAGCAUAUUAGCAGACAACCUCAACCUACUAAAAAAAUUACAAAACAAGGUAUUUCUAUUUAUAAUUCAUAAAACAAAGACAUGUAAUUUUUUAUUUAUAGAAUUCAUAAAGAAAUGCAAGAAAGAAUCAUAUUUCUUGAACAACAACUUACAUAUUCAAAACAUCCAAAUUCGGCAAUUCAUGAAAGGGGGUUCUAAAGGGGCUUCAAAGAUGAUGAUGAGAUCAACGUCAUUAACAAGUUUUGAAGGGGAUUUAAAUAUGAUGACUCAAAAAAUUGUUCUUGAAUCGAACCCAUGUAUUUUUUAAGAAACAAAGAUUUGUCUUUUUGAGUUAUGUAAAGAUGAUGACUUCUAUUUGGGGUUUUUUUUUAUGAUAAACUAGAUAGAAAACAAUUUUUUUUUUGAGUUUUUAGGAUUCUGUCAAACUUUCAAGCAGUUAUGGCGACCUUAUCCCUUAAAUGAUACUAUGUUAAAUACA